CCCGUGAGGACGCCCUUUACCCCUACCCCAGGCUUAGGAGCUGGUAUCAGGCGCAACUUUUACGCCCAUAACACCUAGUCCCACCACACCCCCAAGGGUACUCAGCAGUGAUAAACAUUGUUCAUAAGCGCCAGCUUGACCCAGUUAUAAAGAAGAGGGCCGGCCAACUUGGUGCCAGCCGCCGCGGCUAGACCAACUGGACUCAAAUUGAUAAUUCCCGGCGUUAAGCGUGAUUAAAGCCACACACCAAUUAGAGUUAAACCUAUGUUGAGCAGUGAAAAGCACACGAUAGGGAAACCCAGAAACGAAAGUUACUCUAAUCUCUGCUUGAAUACACGACAGCUAGAAAACAAACUGGGAUU
rnacentral:rRNA from 1 species